rnacentral:lncRNA from 1 species
AUGAAGGAAGCAUAUCAUAUAUAUCAUACCACUUUUGGAUGAUAUCAGCGAAAAUCUAAGGUCGGAAUGUCAUGGAGUUAAACAUUGGGUAAUUAGAUAGCAAAUCAUCAUCAGGAGACGUAUUCAAUUGCAUGUGGUUCAUCCAUUAAUGUCAUGGAGUUAAACAUUGGGUAAUUAGAUAGCAAAUCAUCAUCAGGAGACGUAUUCAAUUGCAUGUGGUUCAUCCAUUCUUCCCCUUUUGUUCAAAGAGAAAUGGAAAUCUGAUUCCACAUGCGCGUGUUAGUAAGCUAAUAAGCGGCCAAACUUACAACUGCUCUCCACGUCAUCACAUGAUCUCCCACCAUCCCAUGAGGCCUAAUCUAAUAAAUGCUCUGCAUACUCGAGGUCUCCAUUCC